rnacentral:rRNA from 1 species
UACGAAGGGGGGCUAGCGUUGCUCGGAAUCACUGGGCGUAAAGCGCACGUAGGCGGACUCUUAAGUCGGUGGUGAAAUCCUGGAGCUCAACUCCAGAACUGCCUUCGAUACUGAGAGUCUCGAGUCCGAGAGAGGUGAGUGGAACUGCGAGUGUAGAGGUGAAAUUCGUAGAUAUUUCGCAAGAACACCAGUGGCGAAGGCGGCUCACUGGCUCGGUACUGACGCUGAGGU